rfam:Gasterosteus aculeatus cont1.008692, whole genome shotgun sequence.
ACAAAGGCUCUUUUAAGAGCCACUCACUUCUUCUAAAGAUGAUCU